GGCAUCUUGGGAAUACUACCGUAAUUGACACUGCCACCUAAAAGCAAAAUCACCUGAAGGAAUCAACAAACCAAGACCCUCAGACUCCUGAAAGUUGUAGAUGCUUUUGAAAAUCUCACAAUUAAACAGAGCUGCUUGGUGUGUUCAUUCCAGGGAGGAGGAAGAGAAAAUCAGGAGUGAAACUCAGCAUGGGAAGACAGGAGAGGUGGGUGGAAGAUGUUUUAAUAUUUGGUUUCUAUUUCCCAUUACCCUGUUCUGGUCUGAUUGGCAGUAACUCAAUCUGAUUUCCCCAAGUGGAGUCUGUUUUGCUUGUGAUGGUCAAUGCAGGGUGAUCUCUCUCUGCCCUUAUCUUGAU